AAUGAAAAACAAUCUUGAUUAUAAUUCUGAUUAAUUACAUUCAAAAUCAUAAAACCAUUAAGUAAAUAAGCAGUUCCGACUAGAGUUUCAUUAAGAACUAAUUGCAUACAAACAUCAUGGAAUAUCAGAUGAUAUCACAUGUUUAGAAGUACAGUGACAGAUACUAAGUUUCGUCGAAUCUCUGGUGCAUAUAACACAUCGUGGAGAUAAAGCAUUUGGCCACCAUGCAGCUGUAAUUUGCAAGUGCCAAUCCCUUUAGCUUCAACCCUUAAGUUAUUCCCCACGUAUAUCCACUUAGUCCCUUGACUAAUCCGACGAUAUUCCACAUAGGCUUCACAUUCAUUUGCUACAUGUUCCAUUACUCCUGAAUCUACAAUCCACAAAGGAUGAGUUUUAGUCAUACAAACGGAGCCUAUUACAUACAUAUUAUGUAAAUUUAUGGUUUAGUAUGUACCUUUUUCGGCUCAGUGCAAUCACGAGCGAAAUAGCCAAGUUUACUACAAUUAUAACAUGUCACUUUGCUCAUAUCCUUCUUCUGACCAAUGUGUUUACCUCUCUUGCGCUUACCCAAACUGGAUUACCCUUGAUCAGAUUUCUUUCUACUCUGAGAGAAGAUUUUACAUCUUCUUUUGAGUUUAAAGCCCGAAACUUUUCGCGAGUUGGUAUCAACCAUAUAAAGUUAAGCAGAAGAUUUAGUUGCCACUAGGCACUCAUCUUCUAACUCCAAGUGACGUUGAAUAUCUUUAAACGUCUUGACACUCUCAUUGUGUGUCAUGUUAACUUUCAUAUGCUCCUAACUAUUUGGAAAAGAUUGAAUAACUGCCUGAACUUGUUGUUCAUCCGUUAUAAUGCUAUUAGCAUUCUUUAGCUCUCUUAUUAAAAGUAAUAUUUCUCUCAAAUGUUGCUCCAUUGAAGUAUUGGGGCGUAAUUUGGAAGAGAUCGAAUAAUUGCCUGAACUUGUUGUUCAUCAGUUAUAAUGCUAUUAGCAUUCUUUAGCUCUCUUAUUAAAAGUGACAUUUCUCUCAAAUGCUACUCCAUCGAAGUACUGGGGCACAAUUUGUUAGUGUUAAAUUCAAGAUCUCUUUUAUGUUGAGUAGAGUUACCCUUUGGUGGCUUAGUCAUAAUGUUUGUAAUUACCUCUAUUGAAUCUUGCAAUUCAAGGAGGUUUUGAACUUUAAGGUAUCAAAUAUCAUAAUUAUUACCGUUCAGUUUAAUUCCUUUGUUUAAUUCAGUCACGACACUGUUUGUUGUCAUUUCUUCUAAGAAAAAAACUAAACACAGAGAUAAGAAAAAAACUUCUUGAUUUUAUUUACACAUAUUUUAUUAUUUUACUGCAAACAAAUAGCUCAAAAUAUGAUAAGUUUAAUGUAAGGAUUUGAUUCGAAAAGUUGUCGAGGCUUCUAAUCAUCAUCAUUUCCAAACAUUAAGUUAACAUAAUUUUAGUAUAUUACGCAAAAUAUUAAUUCAUUUAUUGUUUAUUCCCUUAAAAUUUUAACAAUAAUAGAACUCCCAUUUAUAAAACAUGCCAUAAGAAUACAUUCAUCAUGCAUUUGUUCACGUGAAUAAUGCACCAGGAAAAUUCCUAGGAAGAUGGUGGAAACUAAAAAUCCCUCUCAGUACCAAAGUUCCUUAGGCUCAUGCCUUUUUGUCAGAAUUUUCCUAGACAUGCAAUUUCCAUAUUACUACGCUAGGAUUAUUCUCAUUUUAUGUUUCAAGUAAUUUUGUUAUGCUCCCACUGAAGAAAAACUCUCUUAAGGAUGUAUCAUCAUAUGCAAAAAAUAUUUUUUCAUAUUUUUCAUACUUAUAUAAAGUAUUAUUUUCUAAUUUUAAAGUAUUUAUUUGACUAAAAUUGAAAUUAAAUAAAUAAACAUGUUAUAAAUUAAUUUUUAAAUCACAGUAAAAUAGAGAAUAAAAAUUUGAAAUGGUCGCCGCAAACGGCGCCUCAAAAUUCAAUCAGGAAGGCAGCACGUGGAUUACACUCUCCACCGCCGCGAGUGGGCUAGAACAGUGAAAUCACUGUUCAUCUUUUUCAACCUCAUCAAUUUUCUAGAUUUCGAACCAGAACUUUAAAUGUUAUGUUAUCUCUCAUUACACGUCGGAAGUUUACAUAUGAUAUACCGUUGGAAAGAUCGUUUCAUGCUCUUUCCAAUGAUAUCAAUUUUAUAUUCAUAUGUUAUGUAUCAUAAAAGAUAUGAGUAAAAUAAACCUACAGGUUCAUAUCCUAGGUUUUCACUUUACUCAUUACAUGGAUCAUAUUGCAUCCUCAUGGCAACUAGGAAUUAAUCUAUACACCUUAAUAUGUUUAUUAAUCCUGUUGCAUGGCAUCAACAACAAGUAAAUUAUAACAUGCCAUUAAUAUGUGUUCUUGAUGAAAAAAUUAACUUUCUUAAAGAACAUGCUUGGGUCUCAUGCUUUACAUGCUUAAAUCAGAACACAACAUAUUUGUCUCUGAUACCAAUGUUGAUUUUCGAGCAAGAAUCAAUAUAAAAAAACUUGUAAAUUUGAAUUUAAACACAUACUCGGAUUAUAUGCGGAAAAUCGAUAAACCAAUUUUGUGCUACUGAUUUAUGGUCUGAGGAUGAUCAGAAAGUCGGAAAAUCCUCUCUAUUCAUGUUGCAAGAACACUCUAAGCUUCUCUUGACUUGAAUUUUCUUCAAAUUGUACUUUACUUAUUUUUGCUUAACCU
rnacentral:lncRNA from 1 species